rnacentral:rRNA from 1 species
GACGAACGCUGGCGGCGUGCUUAACACAUGCAAGUCGAACGGAAAGGCCCUGCUUUUGUGGGGUGCUCGAUUGGCGAACGGGUGAGUAACACGUGAGUAACCUGCCCUUGACUUUGGGAUAACUUCAGGAAACUGGGGCUAAUACCGGAUAGGAGCUCCUGCUGCAUGGGGGGGGUUGGAAAAUUUCGGCGGUGGGGGAUGGACUCGCGGCUUAUCAGCUUGUUGGUGGGGUAGUGGCUUACCAAGGCUUUGACGGGUAGCCGGCCUGAGAGGGUGACCGGCCACAUUGGGACUGCGAUACGGCGCAGACUCCUACGGGAGGCAGCAGUGGGGAAUAUUGCACAAUGGGCGGAAGCCUGAUGCAGCAACGUCGCGUGCGGGAUGACGGCCUUCGGGUUGUAAACCGCUUUCGACUGUGACGAAGCGUGAGUGACGGUAAUGGGUAAAGAAGCACCGGCUAACUACGUG